AUAUUGGACAAUGGGCGCAAGCCUGACCCAGCCAUGCCGCGCGCGCGAUGAAAGCCCUAGGGUUGUAAAGCGCUUUCACCGGUGAAGAUAAUGACGGUAACCGUAGCACAAGCCCCGUCUAACUUCGUUCCAGCAGCCGCGGUAAUACGAAGGGGGCUAGCGUUGUUCGGAAUUACUGGGCGUAAAGCGCACGUAGGCGGAUUGGUCAGUUAGGGGUGAAAGCCCAGGGCUCAACCCUGGAACUGCCUUUAAUACUGCCGGUCUAGAGUUCGAGAGAGGUGAGUGGAAUUCCGAGUGUAGAGGUGAAAUUCGUAGAUAUUCGGAGGAACACCAGUGGCGAAGGCGGCUCACUGGCUCGAUACUGACGCUGAGGUGCGAAAGCGUGGGGAGCAAACAG
rnacentral:rRNA from 1 species